UAUGAUUCCGCAAUGCUUGAAGACAAAAGUCUUAGGAAGCAACGUAGCAAAUUAAGCUCCAAACUUUCUGGUCGAUGGCAAGGGUCGUCUUUACCUAUAAAUGGAACGCUUUUAAUUGAGAACAGGUUACCUUUUUAUUUUUGUCUAAGACGCUUAAAGUAUUGUAGUAAUAAUUUUAUACAAAUACCUCAAUUAUAAGGUGAUUUAUUAUUGAUACUCGUAAUAUAUGUUGAUCCUGAGUAACAGAUUUGAACUCAGUUAUGCAAGAAAAGAAAGUCUAAUUUAA